CAGUCCAUUCCCUACAAUGAUGUCACUGAGAAGAGAUCAGUGCCUGUCCCUCCUCUUCCUCUCAUGAGGAAGCUGUAACUGCAGUGAGGUCUCCCCUCAGUCUCAUCUUCAACUUGGCACUAACCAGGACCCCAGGUCACUUUCUGUGGCACUGCUCUCCAGCAUCUCAUUGCCCAGCCUGUCCAUACAUCCAGGGUUGUCCCAUCCCAGAAGGCAUUAGAGAGAGAAUAAUGAAAUAUAAGAAUGGGAAUUAAAAGAAUACAGAGAAAACAAAAUGAAGGUUCUGACUCAUUCAAAGGACUUCAGCGCUGACAAAGCUGACUGCCAACUGUUUGCUUAUUCGGAGAUUCUAAUAAGAGUGGAGGUGGUACACGAUAAAAGCAGGGAAGAAGCAUAACAAGACCAAAGAACAGAGUAAAAUGUAAAGCUGGCCAACAGAGUUAAAGUGGAUGGAAAGCAAAUUAGGCACUUCAUACUGCCAAAGCAAUAAAACAGUGAGAGUCUUGAAGAGAGAAAAGAAAAUUGGUGAAGUUCAAUCAGGAAUGGAAAGGAAAUGACCCAGUAAGAAUAAAAUGAGGCACAGAGCAUAAAGAUAAAGAGAGUUACAUGGGAGGGAAUUAAAGAGUGGAAAGAGUGUCCCUGCACCGAGGACAUCAGGAGAUCUCAGCUGACUUAAAGUUAACAGUAAAAACACAGAAGAGUGGGAGAGAGAAAAUGAGGGGAACAAUUAGAUGUGAAAAUUGAAGAAUUGAAAGAACACCUGCCAUUUAAAUAUUCCAGUAAACUUGAGAGGAAAUACUGGAACAGAGCAAGCUGAAUUGGCAAGAUCUGUAUGUACACAGAAAGGAUGCCAAGUAGUGAGACCAAGGGACUCCAGGAUGUUGUACAUUGGCGUGAUGGAAUGACUUGUAAGAUGAUCUGCUCAGUGCUGGAUAUAUGAGCACACAUGCCUUUGAGUUUUCCACUAAGUAACUCUGACUAUAAAGUAUAUUAAAAAAGCCAGGUAAGGUACAAUUUGUCGAAGUGCACCAUAAUCCUAUAGAGUGAUCAGACAGAAGCAAGAAGUAAAGUAAGAGAAUUAAAUCAAUUUUCAGUUUAUGCUGUUCAGUCUGUAGGUCUGAUAUUACAUCUAAUGUGUAAAUGCAAGUUUUGAAGUGUUUGCAGAAGAAACCAGAAGUACAUUUAACUAAUAUUUCAUUAGUGAUCUAUGCUCUUGACCUGAAACACAUGGGCAUAUAGAACCCAAAAUAUGCCAGAAUCACUCUUGACAGCAUUUUUUAAAAUCAGUAUGUCUUUCCCAAUGGACAACACUUUCAGGACUAUAUAUCUCAUUGAUGCUUCUGUCUAUCACUAAUGUUCUUUCUCCCAGAUAGACCCCUCUUUAGAGGUGUCCUACUUCACAAGUAAGCCAGACAUCCAAAUUUCUAACAGCUUUCUCUGCUUAUGAAACUAUAUUUAAGAGUCAUAAAACAUGUUGUAAGCCUUAGCUCAAUUCUGGGCACCGUAGCACCAUAUACAUCAGGAUCUGUUACAUAUGUGUGUUAUUUUCCCCUAGAACAGACAUCCAAGGUAACAAAAGUCCUUUCCCGGCCACCAAGGAUUUUACAAGCAUUAUCAGUAAUGGAGUUGAUUGCACUAUUUGCAGAGAAUAUUCACGCAUUUACAGUGAAGAAAUAGACAGAUGCCAUGCUGACCGCUUCAGAGAGCAGGAAAGGACUAUUAGAAAUGGGGGUUCUAAUAGAGCUAUCGUGUCCCAUUUCACUUCUAAUAACUGCGAUGUCGUCGUGUCCUUCAGCAGGGUUUCCAAGAUGCUAACCACUCAGAGCUUAAUAGGCAUAUAGAUUCUCACUAGCCAGCAAACUUAGAUGACAGAAUAAUUUUCUACCAACUUUUUCUUGUGCUUAUAUUUAUCUCAAUGUAAUUCCCACAAUAUCUAAUGGUAUUGCAGUUUUGCUUCUGUUUUUCACAGAUGUUUAGUGACUCAUCCAGUCAUCUUUAAGUCUAUGCAUUGUUUGAUUCAUCUCCUUUUGCAUAAGUACAUAUUUUUCUCCCCAAAUUUCUGUCUUUUAAAAUGUUUUGCAUAGUCAUAUAAAUUGCAUCUUUUUCCCCCCCGCUUUUAGGAUUUCCUUUAACUGCCUUUUAAAUUUCUUAUGGAGAUUCAAGCUUACAAUAGUAAGGACCAAUAAACCUCCCCUUGAGCUAGACUGAAAAAAUCCUUGCUUUAUGUUAACUCCAUAGCUUGUAAGUAAAGCACACACACGUGUGAAGAAGCUAUGAGCACUAGUGUCAAAUAUAAUUUAUUCCUUAAAUGUAGUUUAAGGGCAUGGCAGAAGUGUCAUUAAGAAGAUAUAAGAUAAAAAGAAGAAAAGUGAAUGGCCAAGCAUUCCAGAAGAAAAAGUGAAUUAAUAGGGUGUGCAAAAAACUGGCAGCUAUGGGGUGAAGCUAAAGGGGUGGCUUGAGAAAACAGCCAAAGGGAAGAGGCAAUCACAGGAAAACAACAGCUGUCUGAAAGCCCCUUUCAUUUUUCCAGAGAACACACAUUGGCUUGAAUAUCUCUCCAGUCUUAACUAGAAAGACCAAAAAGUGGAGAAUCAAAGUAUCAGCUAGACUAAAACUUUCCCCAGAGUGAGGUAAUCACACUCAAUCACAUGGCUGUGACCCUCUGAAGAGUAUGGAAGAAGGAGACACUGCCAAUUCCAUGUCUUUGUCAUGCAGCCAACAGUCUAUUUUUGACUUCUACAGCUCUUUCUACUGGUUGGAGUCCACUUCCAUCAUUCCUCUAUGUUUGCUUAUUUAUCUUAAUAUUUAUUCUCACCUUCAUUCCUCUUCCACAGUAUGGUAAUAAGACAAGGGUUUGGGUUUGAGUUUCUUUAAAUUUGUUUGUUUCCUUGUUUGUUUCUUUUUUAAAAAUAAAAUAUGUAAUGAGUUAAAACAAAACAACAGGAAGAAAAGAACAGAAUAUUUCAGGAGUGGAAAGAAUGUAAGAAUAUGACAUAAAAAACUUUUUAAAAAUAGAGGCAGAAACUCUUACCACAACUGACCCCUUGCAGCGUAGGCAUGCUUAACAUUAUGAUUUUAAAAGUUUAUAGUUUCUUAAUAGUCAGUGGUUCAGCUCUUCGAACACAACAUAAAAAAUCAUAUCCAAAUUACUUCACUGGAAGUUGUGAAGAAACACUUUAAAGGAAAGUAUUACUUCAUUAAACAAAAUAGUAAAAACAGUAUGACAGUUUCUGAGAUUUCUUGACUUUUCGCCCAAAAGCUAUACUUUUCUGUAUAUAAUUAUGGGCAUGUGUGAGUAUGUACACAUAUGUAUUCUGUUUGAAAAUAUAUGCAUACUAGUCCCUCACAUAUACAAAUAUUUAUGUUUAUAUAAAAUACAUAUCAUGAAUUUGUAAUGGAUAGAAUAAACAGUGGUAAAACCAUCAGGGAGAUAUGCAAGCCAUCCUGAGUAAUAUUUAGCCAUAAAAUGGCAUCAUUCAUCCUGUAUUCUAUAUAUAUUUUACAAAUAUAUUCCUAUAAAAAUGUUAAAAAGAGUUUUACAAAUUUUAUUAGCAUUAUUUUUCAUAUCCAUCUGCCUGUAGAAACAGGCUCCUUUAGUACUAAGAUUCCAACUGUAGAGGGCCCUGAGGGAGAGGAGUAGUAUAAUAUUUUUUUAAACCCUUUCAAAUUAUGCAAAGAAUAUUUCCAACAUAUAAAAAGUAUCAUAAGCUUAAAGUCUGCUGUGAGCUAAAAGUGUGUGCCAAUAGAAGUCAAGGAUUCUUCCCUUACAGCAUAAAGUUUCCAUUUUCAUUCCUUAGAUUUGCAAGAUAUCUCUAAUCAGCACCAGCGCUGAACUGUGCCCAGACCUGCUCUUCAACAAAUCUAACUUUUAACACUGCUUGUGCACAUUCUGAGAAGACAAAAUGAGAAAAAUUUUUAAAAAAGUUUCCCUUCCAAGUUGUUCUAAAAAGUGGCAAAACUUGAUAUUCUUUAGAGGUCUGGGAUGUAAAUUCACUCCACUUUGGGAUAAGAGCAGGGAUUUGAUUAAAGUGGCUACAGAUACCCACAACUUGUAAACAAUCACAUGAACACAUUGUACUUUACACGAAGUGACACACAAACACAAUAAGUGACUUUUCCAGGAGUCAGACUGGCUAAGCAGGCACACAGGGGAACUGCACACAGUGGUAUUUGGGAGCAGCCCCACAGGAAGCUUACUGCAUGAGCUGACUUUAAAUUUGCCCUCCCACAUAGAGGCUAUCAUUACCUCUUAUAAAUAACACAAAAAAGCCAGAGUUUUAUUUUGUACACAUGGAAAUGUAAACAAGUGCUUUGGCAAUACAUUUUUGCAAUUCUGGCUUUGAAAAAAAAAAAAAGAGUUAAGACUGCUAGAGAAGGGCAGUUUCUGAAUGACGAUUGUCUCAAAUAACCUGGAAAAUGUCAUUUCUCCAUGGACCAGGAAAAAACCAUUCUAAGCCUAAUACCCAAAGUUACUUUUCUCCAGCUUCUUAGAGGAAAUAGAGGACUUCUAAAAUAAGGGGAAAGCCUUAAGUUACAGAAAUUAAGAAUAUACAGCAUGCAUUUAAGAGAAUUUUAUUUCAAUAAUAUGUGUUUAAACAUGAACAACUACGGUAAUAAUUCACUCUUAAAAAGCAAUCAGUUUGAUCAUAAUAAUACUUUACUUUCAGCUGUGAUAAUUGUAUUAUAUAUAGAUAUUCAGUAUCAGUAGGGUGGCUAGAUUUGAACUACCAUGUAAAGUCAUUCACUAGCAGAUUGAAAAAUUCAGAAAAGUUCACUGAUUUAUACUGGGAAAAAAGGUCAGAAAAAUAUUUAGUCAAUAUAAUCACAUUUAUCUGAUAAAGCUAAAUAAUAU